CUGGUCUGUCAGCUGUGGUUACGGGGGUUUGAGGGGUGGAUAUAGGGGUGGUGGAACGAACAAGGGUUUUCGGUACGGUAGUGGCCGGUGGGGAGGUACGCAGCGCUGUCGGUUUUUGAUCUCUGCCACUGCAUACCUUGGUGUUGGGGCUGAGGUCGCGGCCGGGCGGCGGGCUGCGCCGCUUGCUGUCCGCCGCGGCCACCGCGCGCUGCAGCUCCAGCAACGCUUGGCGUUUCACCUGGGGGAAAUCAAUUAUAUUAACUCUGGGCUAUAUAUAUACAGACUGAAUAUUAGUCAAACAAAAUCCGAAGUCUUCAAAGAAGCGCAUUUCACCGCCAUUACAAAGGCAGAAGUGUUGUCCUCAGUCCCUCAGUGUUGGAAUAUCCAACAGCUCCAAGGCAUGGUAACUGGAAAUACGGUCAGAUGAGAGAGGUACCUG